rnacentral:misc_RNA from 1 species
AAGUCGUAACAAGGUUUCCGUAGGUGAACCUGCGGAAGGAUCAUUACAAAUAAAGCUGGUUGGAAGUGGGGUCUUGAUCUGUAAGUGGUAGAGCGAACAGUCCGGCUGCCUCCCGAAAUGUCUUACAUGUCCCCCACAGCCUGAAGGCCGAAUUACAACCCUUGAUUAUCUACACUUGUUGCUUUGGGGUGCUCAAGUGCCCCAGAGGACCCAACUCUCUUGCAUUCAUGAUGUCGAUCGUCGAUGUAGUCUCUAUAAUAAUUUAAAUUCAAAUUU